UUCCGGUUGAUCCUGCCGGAGGCUACUGCUAUCGGAGUCCGAUUUAGCCAUGCUAGUCCACCGAUUCGUUCGGGGAGGAUAGCUGAGUAACACGUGGCCAACCUGCCCUGUGGAUGGAGAUAACCUUGGGAAACUGAGGCUAAUAUCCAAUAGCAGAGGAAUACUGGAAUGUUUCCUCUGUGAAAUGUUCCGACGCCACAGGAUGGGGCCGCGGCUGAUUAGGUCGUUGGUGAGGUAACGGCUCACCAAGCCAGUAAUCAGUAGCAGCCGUGAGAGCGGGAGCUGUCAGUCGUGUUCUGAGACAAGAACACGGGCCCUACGGGGCGCAGCAGGCACGAAACCUUUACAAUGCACGCAAGUGCGAUAAGGGGACUCCGAGUGCGGUCUUCCCACAAGGAAGGCCGCUUUUCUGUACUGUAAGGAGGUACAGGAACAAGGGGUGGGCAACACUGCUGCCAGCCGCCGCGGU
rnacentral:rRNA from 1 species